UACGGUAGGAGGCGAGCGUUGUCCGGAAUCACUGGGCGUAAAGCGCGUGUAGGCGGAUGACUAAGUUUGCUGUGAAAGCGCCUGGCUUAACCGGGCGAGGUCGGCGAAAACUAGUCGUCUGGAGGCCGGUAGAGGGGGGUGGAAUUCCGGGUGUAGUGGUGAAAUGCGUAGAGAUCCGGAGGAACACCCGUGGCGCAGGCGGCCCCCUGGGCCGCGCCUGACGCUGAGACGCGAAAGCGCGGGGAGCGAACGGG
rnacentral:rRNA from 1 species